ACCUUGCUGACGAGUGCAAAAUAGCACGAAACUCGGGUCCAGGGU
rfam:Schistosoma mansoni strain Puerto Rico chromosome W, complete genome